GCUCAGAGAACAGUGUAGAAACCCGCGCUGUGUGAAGCGAGGUUGGGCGCAAGAGAAGCGGGCAUGACCUGGCCAUCGGGGAGGCCGGAAGCCCUCGCCUUUGGUCUUUCACGUUGGCAGCGCCUCUGCUGGGCCUCGGGCCGCUCACCUGCGGAAGGGGCCGCACUCUUCACCAUGGAGUCCACCGCCUCCUGCACCCGGAGCUGCUGCAGCUCCGCCAUGGCGACCCCGCGCUGCCCCGCGGCGCUCCGCGCCGGCGCCCAUAUGGAAUCGGCGUACGGG
rnacentral:antisense_RNA from 1 species